rnacentral:tRNA from 1 species
CGGGGCGUAGCGCAGUUGGCUAGCGCGUCGGCUUUGGGAGCCGAAGGCCGUGAGUUCGAGUCUCACCGCCCCGACCA